GACGGAGGGGGCGAGCGUUGUUCGGAAUUAUUGGGCGUAAAGGGCGCGUAGGCGGACUGUCCAGUCUGGCGUGAAAUCUCCACCGCUCAUCGGGGAGGGGCCGCUGGAAACUAGCAGUCUGGAGUUCGGCAGAGGGUCGUGGAAUUCCGCAUGUAGCGGUGGAAUGCGUAGAUAUGCGGAAGAACACCGGUGGCGAAGGCGGCGGCCUGGGCCGAAACUGACGCUGAUGCGCGAAAGCCAGGGGA
rnacentral:rRNA from 1 species